GAUUUUAUUUUAUUUUGCGGGGGUCUUCUUCGCGUGACGUCAUAAGCACUGCGCCCGCGUCUUCUCUAAUGUCCGCUGGAUAAAAGCGAGAAAAGCCAGAGGUUUGUCGAUCGAUAUCUGCGUGACGAUGGAGUUCAUUAAAGUGGAGAUUGUGGAUCUGUCUGAUCUAGAACCAUUCAGAGUCAAAGAAGAACAAGAAACCGAGGAACAAAAAGACCUGAUCGAAGUGGAAGAGGAAAGUCAAGACCAGAAUGAAGUGGAGAAAAAUCAGGAUCCUCAGAGCUUCACAUCAGGAGAAAACUCACAAAGUCCAGGGGCCAAAAAAUCGUUUGGAUGCCCACAUUGUGGAACGAGUUACAAAUGUAAAGAAGACCUUAAGGAUCACAUGACAAUCCACAGCGAGAGGCCGUACACGUGCCUUCAGUGUGGGAAGAGUUACACGCAGAAAAUCAACCUCCAGAACCACGUGUUAAUUCACAACGGAGACAAGCCUUUCACGUGCACUCAGUGCGAGAAGAGCUUCACACGCAAGGGGGACCUGAAGAAACACAUCAUAUGUCACUUCGGAGAGAGGCCUUUCACGUGCCAUCAGUGUGGGAAUAACUUCAGACAUCAAGGAAACCUCACAAGUCACAUGAAAAUUCACGUGGGCGAGAAAUCGAGCCCAAGUCCUCACAGUGACAAGAAAAUUGCGCAAGUGUGCAAUUUCAAAACUCCUGUGCUCUAUCAUGCUGGAGCGAUGCCCUUUAAAUGUGACCGUUGCGGUCAGAGAUUCAUCCUGUCCGCACACUUAAAGAGACACCUGAGAUGGCACGCGAAGGAGAAAUCCUGAGUGUUUUAUGCCUCGGAGAGUUUCAAAGAACCAUAAAAUAUACUGUGUGUGUUCGCGAAGAUUGUGCUUGUUUGUAAAGGACAAGUCAAAAUAUUAAUUCGGGAAAACGAAUAACAUUGCUUUUGUUUAUGUUGGGACUUGCAGUUGUAAAUCAUGUUAAUUGUAAAUACUUUCAUUGUACAAGAGGGUUGCUUAAUAAUAUUCUAUCUUCCUCCAUGUUAGUUUAAGCAUUCAGUUUAGUUAAUGAACGCCGUUGAGAAGUGAUGUGUGGAGAACUGAGCUAUACUUGCGACGAGACCUCGAGUGACUGACUGAAAAUCCCAGAUAAAAACACUUGCUUGCGCAUGGUGAUUGUGCAACCGAUGCGUCGGCUUUAAAGUUCACACUGUUUUAUGUAACUAUCGAACGAGAACGUAUUUGAGCUGAAUAAUGGCGCUAAAUUUUCUUCUCUAGAGGUGCUUUUUAGUUAUUAGAAGUGAUUCAUUGUCUCCUCACUGAAGAAUUUUGCAACGUUGAUGAUUUGAUACGACUUGUUUUGAUGCUGUUUUCCCCCUGUGUAUGACUGUAAAGAUGCCCUGAAGCAAUCUGUAUCGUAUAAAGUGCUAUAUAAAUAAAUGUGACUCAACAAGCA